rnacentral:rRNA from 1 species
UACGUAGGGUGCAAGCGUUAAUCGGAAUUACUGGGCGUAAAGCGUGCGCAGGCGGGUAUGCAAGGCAGAUGGGAAAUCCCCGGGCUCAACCUGGGAACUGCAUUUGUGACUGCAUGGCUGGAGUGCGGCAGAGGGGGAUGGAAUUCCGCGUGUAGCAGUGAAAUGCGUAGAGAUGCGGAGGAACACCGAUGGCGAAGGCAGCCCCCUGGGCUGACACUGACGCUGAGGCACGAAAGCGUGGGGAGCAAACAGG